ensembl:lncRNA novel transcript
GACAGUUGAGCCGAGAGACAUUUUGGAUGCCAUCUUGCAAAAUGAUUCCUUGCCUAGCUCUACUCCUAUCAGGAUACCACCUUGCUCCCCAGACACCGCACCCAUAUUUGCAGAGAUGAAUUGAAUGUGUUUCCAUGACAACACCAGAGGAGGAAGAGGGGCUCUGAGGCCCCGUAUGAUUUUCCUCUCCUCUCCACUGAGGCUAGCAUCACAGGCUGUGGAAGCUUCCCCCUGAGAGCUCUCAGCAGGAUGUGGAAAUCAGGAUGGUGAAUUUCAGCAUUGAUUUUAGGAGAUGAUAACUACCGCCGCCUUAACUUCAACUGUUUUCUGGACUACUUUCUUGAUUUAGUAGAGACUGGACCAGAAAGGCCUGAGUUGUGUGUAGGCUUGCAGUUCCAGACAUUUGGGGAUCUUGCCUCAGCAGGACAGGUAAGGAUAUGCUGCAACAACAACAACAACAACAAAACAGAAUUAUAGUUUCUUAACACAACCCGCUUGUAUUUAUUGCUCAUGUUACAUGUUCAACAUGGCUUGGCAGACAGGCUGUUCUCAUCGUUGUCAUUCCUGGACCCAGAUAACAUAGGAUCUGUCAUGAUAUGUGCCUUCUCGGUCAUCUCCUUAGGGGAAAGGGCAUGACAAAUCUUACACCAGCUUCCAAAGCCUCUGCCCAGAAGUGUUAUAUCUGUUCACAUUUCAUUGACAAAACAAGUGACAUGCCACAUGGAACUCCAAAAUAGUGUGAAGACCAAUCCUACCACAUGCCUGGAAGGAUGAAAUAAUUGUAGGCAGGCCACAUGACUACUAUAGAAUCCGAAAAAAGGGUCAUGCAUGAAGAGUCAAGUAACCUCAUGGGAAAGAUACCUAACUAGAAGUUGAGUACUGAUACUGCAGGGAAAAUUCUGAAGACCCUAAGAACAGAAGUUAAUCUGAAUAUUUCCGGUGGUGUAGCAGAUAAAAGGAACACUCAUGGAGGGAAGAAAAAUUCUUCAGGGCCAAGCUGGAGUGAGGUAUGGGCUGGGCGGUCACUGAGUACAAUUGACACUCCGCAAUGAAAGAAACCAUCAGACUGCCUUCUUUCUGGAAGAAACAACUGUUUUAAAAGUCUGAGGCAACUGCAAUGUGGUUAUACUAGAUUAUGUAUAAAACAAAGGGAACAAGGAGUACUUCUUGUAGUUCCAGCACAGAGAUAGUUCUGAGAGGAGAUAACAUGAUCAGCGUGGGAAGACAUGACAGAUUCUGAUGGAGAAGACAAUGGAGAGAUGAGGAAAAAGGUGGUGUGCCUGCCUCAUUCUGGCCUACCAGUCACACCCUCUAUGUACCAUGGCACCAGUGUGUAAGGGCAAAAGCAAGAGGCCUCAGAGCAAGACUUGUAUAGUUGUGCAGGUUGGGGACUGCACAAUGUCUCAGUUAGGCUGCUAUAAUAAAGUACCACAAGAAGUA